rnacentral:tRNA from 1 species
GUGGGUGUAGCUCAGUUGGUAGAGCGCAGGCUUGUGGUGCCUGACGUCGCGGGUUCAAGCCCCGUCACCCACCCCA